rnacentral:rRNA from 1 species
GGGUCAGUAGGUUGGUCGUGCCACCGGUACGUACUGGUCUCACUGAUUCCUCCUUCCUGAAGAACCGUAAUGCCAUUAAUCUGGUGUUGCGGGGAAACAGGACUGUUACUUUGAAAAAAUUAGAGUGUUUAAAGCAAGCUAACGCUUGAACACAUUAACAUGGAAUAAUGAAAUAGGACGAUCGAUCCUAUUUUGUUGGUUUCUAGGAUUGACGUA